UAUGUAAAUGCGCAAGGGUAGCACGUCUGACUCCAGAUCAGAAGGUUGCGUGUUUGAAUUACGUCCAGCUCAA